rnacentral:rRNA from 1 species
AGAGUUUGAUCAUGGCUCAGGAUGAACGCUGGCGGCGUGCCUAAUACAUGCAAGUCGAGCGAACGGACGAGAAGCUUGCUUCUCUGAUGUUAGCGGCGGACGGGUGAGUAACACGUGGAUAACCUACCUAUAAGACUGGGAUAACUUCGGGAAACCGGAGCCAAUACCGGAUAAUAUUUUAAACCGCAUGGUUCAAAAGUGAAAGACGGUCUUGCUGUCACUUAUAGAUGGAUCCGCGCUGCAUUAGCUAGUUGGUAAGGUAACGGCUUACCAAGGCAACGAUGCAUAGCCGACCUGAGAGGGUGAUCGGCCACACUGGAACUGAGACACGGUCCAGACUCCUACGGGAGGCAGCAGUAGGGAAUCUUCCGCAAUGGGCGAAAGCCUGACGGAGCAACGCCGCGUGAGUGAUGAAGGUCUUCGGAUCGUAAAACUCUGUUAUUAGGGAAGAACAUAUGUGUAAGUAACUGUGCACAUCUUGACGGUACCUAAUCAGAAAGCCACGGCUAACUACGUGCCAGCAGCCGCGGUAAUACGUAGGUGGCAAGCGUUAUCCGGAAUUAUUGGGCGUAAAGCGCGCGUAGGCGGUUUUUUAAGUCUGAUGUGAAAGCCCACGGCUCAACCGUGGAGGGUCAUUGGAAACUGGAAAACUUGAGUGCAGAAGAGGAAAGUGGAAUUCCAUGUGUAGCGGUGAAAUGCGCAGAGAUAUGGAGGAACACCAGUGGCGAAGGCGACUUUCUGGUCUGUAACUGACGCUGAUGUGCGAGAGCGUGGGGAUCAAACAGGAUUAGAUACCCUGGUAGUCC